rnacentral:rRNA from 1 species
GACGAACGCUGGCGGCGUGCCUAAUACAUGCAAGUCGAGCGGACCUCUUCGGAGGUCAGCGGCGGACGGGUGAGUAACACGUGGGCAACCUGCCUGUAAGACUGGGAUAACACCGGGAAACCGGUGCUAAUACCGGAUAAUCCUUUUCCUCACAUGAGGGGAAGCUGAAAGACGGUUUCGGCUGUCACUUACAGAUGGGCCCGCGGCGCAUUAGCUAGUUGGUGGGGUAACGGCCCACCAAGGCGACGAUGCGUAGCCGACCUGAGAGGGUGAUCGGCCACACUGGGACUGAGACACGGCCCAGACUCCUACGGGAGGCAGCAGUAGGGAAUCUUCCGCAAUGGACGAAAGUCUGACGGAGCAACGCCGCGUGAGCGGAGAAGGCCUUCGGGUCGUAAAGCUCUGUUGUCAGGGAAGAACACGUACCGGAGUAACUGCCGGUACCUUGACGGUACCUGACCAGAAAGCCACGGCUAACUACGUGCCAGCAGCCGCCGUAAGAC